AUGAUGAGAAGCCGCUUUAUUUCAUAACUGUGUCAUUUUAAACUGUUUGUAUCUCUCACGAUGGACCAAUUGUAGAACAUUCAGUGUAAAUUUGGUUUAUGAACGUUUAAUGUGUAAAAUGUGUUAAUUUUCCAUGAUUCAAUUAUCGGAUCGGUGCUGACGUGAAAAUACUCUUCACUGACUGGAGUUUUUCAACUCAUUUUAUUGCUAUUAUAGUGAAACUCUGAUAACUUAUAAAAGAAUACAUCCAGAAUCAUCAUCUGAGGUACUUCAGUGAAAAUGUCGAGUUUAGACAUUAUUUGUGAGAAUAUUCAUGCCGGGCACGCGCCGCAGUGGUUCGCGCGCUGGGAGCGCCCUACCGUGUGUGUUGUGGAGAUGAUGGACAUACCGGACUAUCUCGACUAAUGUAAACAGAUAUAACGUGGUACUUUACGACUGAUGUUUCUGCAGGCGGUGCGCAAACGGGCGCCGCUGAUGUGCGUGAUGGGCGCAGAGAUGAUACCCGAGCUGCUUUACCGUGAGGAGAACUCGAGAAUAAACUUCACCUGUUCACUACUGAGUGAUAGAAAUACUCACAAACACUCAUUCAUACACUCUAAUGUAUAUAUAUAUAUAUACUGUGUGUGUGUGUGUGUGUAUAUAUAUAUAUAUAUAUAUAUAUAUAUAUAUAUAUAUAUAUAUAUAUAUAUAUAACCGGUCCUUCUCGACCCACUACGAGCGGGAUUUGAACUGAGGUCUCCGGCAUGGGAGGCAGACGCGCUAACAAGGAAGCUAAAGGCUACAGCCGUCAGUUGCUAGUGCACCUCUUGAGGAAUGUUGUUGUUUGCUGUGGACUCUUCACUGUUCUAUCAGGUGAUCGAAGCAGCACAUAGACAGAGCUGGUCAGAAUGGGUGUGACACUGCUUCACAGGCAGAAGGGAAGGAGAACACAGGGAAGCGGGGUUUCCAGGUUCAGGUAAGAGUUUUAAUCGGCCACCUCAGUGCUUUACAAUUUCACAAACUCAUCAGUUUCACAGGCACGUAGUUACUUAAACACAUCAGCUUCACAAACACAAUAGAUUAAGCAAACAGCUUCUGUAGCACCGUGGCCUUCCUUGUGCCAGACUUUCUCUGCUGCUGGUGGCGUGGCUGUUUAUAUGCCGCUCUCCCCAUGCUCACUGGAAUUAGAGACUAUUGUUAAACAUAAUCUAGCUCAGGUUCAAGCGCCCUUACCGCUUUCUCUCUCUCCAUGCCUGACCACGCCCCCGCUGCCACAUAUCCCC